UACGUAGGCAGCGAGCGUUGUUCGGAGUUACUGGGCGUAAAGGGUGUGUAGGCGGUUUUCUAAGUUUGGUGUGAAAUCUCCCGGCUUAACCGGGAGGGUGCGCCGAAAACUGGGAGACUAGAGUGCGGGAUGGGAGAGUAGAAUUCCUGGUGUAGCGGUGAAAUGCGUAGAUAUCAGGAAGAACACCCGUGGCGAAGGCGGCUCUCUGGGACGGUACUGACGCUGAGACGCGAAAGCGUGGGGAGCGAACAGG
rnacentral:rRNA from 1 species